GGGUCAGUAGGUUGGUCGUGCCACCGGUACGUACUGGUCUCACUGAUCCCUCCUUCCUGAAGAACCGUAAUGCCAUUGAUUUGGUGUUGCGGGGAAACAGGACUGUUACUUUGAAAAAAUUAGAGUGUUUAAAGCAAGCUAACGCUUGAAUACAUUAGCAUGGGAUAAUGAAAUAGGACGAUCGAUCCUAUUUUGUUGGUUUCUAGGAUUGACGUA
rnacentral:rRNA from 1 species